CCUGAUCAGAUGAGCAUUUCAUGAAGAGUCUUUGUCUGUGAUUUUUAUUGACUAAUUUGCUCUCAGCGAAUGCCUUAUCAGAUGCAAGGAUUUGCGGUACCUUACAGCAUUUGUAAGAGAACAUAUAGUCAUAUGAGAUGGGUUUCAUAUGAAUGAAGACAAUAGAAUCAUGGAAUAUCUCGACGACGAUCCAUCUCAUCUCUGGUGUCUCCUCUGGUCUCCUCCACCCCAUCAGACACAACAUCGUUGAAUUCCCCAGCAGCCCAUCGCUAUGAUAUCGCUCUCUUCCAGUCCAUCUUCUCCCGCCAGCUGUGAAGUGCGUUGAGUUAUGUCGUCUAGACUCCCUGGCACCACUGGGCCGCUAACCGCCAGCUCCCAGGACUCAAAAAGAUGGACUGAAGUUGAUUGACCUUAUCUGAAAUCUGUAUCUCAGAACACCAAGAUGGAUGUCUUCAACCGGAAGGAGUCAAUGAACUUUAGCAAGGUAUGUCCCCAGGGGAUCUCAACCCCUUCUUGUAAUGUGGGAAUGCUCACAACAUAUGCUUUGCUCAUUAAGCCCAAACUCUAAUGUCUGUUAUCUGCGCACCUACGAUCAUUAACAAUGUAGACCGUGUGAUGUCUUAUUGCAUCGCCUGCUUUCGAGUCUCGAGGCCUCCGGAUAACCGUGAGAGUACAGAGAGAAUUGGUGAUAUAAGAAAUUAGAUUUAUUAAUAAUUAAUGACAUUUUCAUGUUGUUUACUAAUUGAAUUUGCAAACAAAACUGACUAGGAAUGAAAUGAGAUACAUUAAAGCUAUUUGUAGCGUACUGUCAUCUUUAAAAUUUUACUCGAAAGUUUUUCCCCUUUAUGCUCACAAAAUUAUCAAAAUGAUUACCAGUAUUUCCUUUAUUUCCUUAAAGUAUAUUUUUCUGAUCAGAUCAAAAGGUUAUUCAUUUUCAAAUUAAACUCUAUUAUUAACGGAUGGAAGAAAAGAUUAUAUGAUAAAAUAGAUUUCUGUGAAAGAUGUGAUCUAAAUUUGAUAUUUAUGGGGGGAUUACAAUUUCCGAAGAAAAAUUACAAUUUCAGAAGUGAACAAAAUUAGAGUUAAGAAAAAUUAAAUAACUAGGCCCUCAAAUAUUUUCUCAUUUUAGUUUUUUUUUUUUUUUUUUUUUUUUUUUUGGGGGGGGGGGUGUUGAAAAUGACAUCCCAUUAUAGAAUUAGUUAAAAUCUUAAGAAACUACAUACAAGAACUAGAUAGGUACAUGUAAGAUAAGUUUUCAAAUUGCACCUAAACAGUGAGUUAUUUUUAAAUGCAGACAAAAAUAAUUUUAAAAAAAACAUAACACUGACGAUUUUUUCAAAAUAUGUUGUAGAAAAAGUUAUGACAUUGAUAAGUUUUGCUUAUUACAAUGAGAGAGCCAGUGACACCACUAACUCAUUAUUUCUUUUUACUCUAAAUGUGAAAUACACAGAAUAUUGCAGAAUUGCUAGAAAUCUAUCUCAAUCAACUCUUAGUCAAUCUUUCAAAUGAUAAAUUAAUAAUACCUAUUUUUUAUAUACAGCAAAUGACAAUUGACUCUGCACUCUGAAAUGAUAGAAUGAUAAAGAAAUAUAAAAGAAAAUGUUUAUAUUAUGGGAACCUAUUGAUAUCAUUGUACAAAUUCCAGACUGGGAACUACAAUGGACCUAGAAAUGCUACAAUGCAUCAUUGAUAAGGAAAAAAAUGGUCUAUCUAUAGCCUUGAAUAGAUAGAGAGAAAACUUUUCUUUGAUAUUAUCAGGAAGAUUGUCUAUAGUUGAGGGAUUAUAUAUUGAAACGCUCUUUUCCAUAAUAAUGUUAUGCAUACAUUAGUGCUGUAGCCGAACCGCCGAACCGAACGGUAGUUCGCCGAACAUGGCACUUCCGAACCGAACAGAACCGAACCGAACACUAAGACUUGGUUCGGAAGUUCGGCAAAAAAAAAAAAAAAACGGCUUUCAGCUAACAAAUUUAUAAGUUUACACCCUUUCUAAUCAUUAUAUUUGCGCAUUCUCUAUUUAAUCUUCUUUGCAAUUGUAUGUUGGAAGUAUGCGCUUAUUUUGCGGUUACUAGAUUUUGUUUUCAUUUUCAUGUUGACAUUGUGGUUUUUACGGCCCUGAUUAAGAAAGG